rnacentral:misc_RNA from 1 species
AAUUGAUUUCAAUUUUCAAGCAACGAUACUUCAUGUAGGCUAGACCUGAAUUGUGUCUACUGUUUGCAUUAAUAUAAAUGCAUUAGGCAGAAGCAUUUACCACGCAAAAACAUUCCCAUUUGGAAUGAUUCUUGUGUUAGAAUUCAAUUGUAUUCUGUUAUUGAAAGAAUUCAAUUCAGAUAAUUUUGUAAGAUUUCAUGUGUUUGGAAUAAAUUUUAAAAUGUGAAUUCUAUUGUUUCAAAUGAAUGAAAAGUAAAGUGAAUGCGAUUAUAUUCCUAUUUUAUCCUUAUUUACAAAGAAACA